AAGGAUACCUGUCUAAUGUUUUAUGUCAGUGGGGUUGAUGAGAGAGGUAAGGGAUGGUCCCUGGAAAAGAUGAGGUAAGGGAUGGUCCCUGGAAAAGAUGAGGGAGGUAAGGGAUGGUCCCUGGAAAAGAUGAGGGAGGUAAGGGAUGGUCCCUGGAAAAGAUGAGAGAGGUGAGGGAUGGUCCCUGGAAAAGAUGAGAGAGGUGAGGGAUGGUCCCUGGAAAAGAUGAGAGAGGUGAGGGAUGGUCCCUGGAAAAGAUGAGAGAGAGGGGAGAGAGCGAGAUUAGGAUGUAGUCUAUUUCAAUCAACAACAAAAAAAUACAAAGUAAACAGGUGAUAGAUAAUUGAGUAAUCUUGAAUGCGAGUAUAUGAUCAACGCUUACCUUCUAUUCAGACAAGUUGACUCGCCUGGCCGCCCAGGCAGCAAAAGCAUGCACUGCUUCUUGGAGGUUGAAUUUUGUAAGACAACUUGUGCUCAAUUGAUAUGGUGGCGAGUCCUUUGAGUCUCUCUUGACUAAAUCUCCCAGUUGGUAACGCACGGGUUUCACAGCCUCCACCCGGCUCUCCCAUCUCGUGGUGAUGAGGGGUUUCACAGCCUCCACCCGGCUCUCCCAUCUCGUGGUGAUGAGGGGUUUCACAGCCUCCAACAGGCUCUCCCAUCUCGUGGUGAUGAGGGGUUUCACAGCCUCCACCCGGCUCUCCCAUCUCGUGGUGAUGAGGGGUUUCACAGCCUCCACCAGGCUCUCCCAUCUCGUGGUGAUGAGGGGUUUCACAGCCUCCACCCGGCUCUCCCAUCUCGUGGUGAUGAGGGGUUUCACAGCCUCCACCAGGCUCUCCCAUCUCGUGGUGAUGAGGGGUUUCACAGCCUCCACCAGGCUCUCCCAUCUCGUGGUGAUGAGGGGUUUCACA
ensembl:lncRNA